rnacentral:sRNA from 1 species
CUUCCUCGAUCUGCUGCGGGGCGAUGAAGUGGAUGUGGGUGUCGAUGCCACCGGCGGUGACGAUGUGGCCCUCGCAGCUGAUGAUUUCCGUGCCCGGGCCGAUGAUGAUGUCCACGCCCGGCUGGGUGUCGGGGUUGCCGGCCUUGCCGAUGGCCACGAUGCGGCCGCCUUUCAGGCCAAUGUCGGCCUUGACGAUGCCCCAGUGGUCCAGGAUCAGCGCGUUGGUCAGCACGGUAUCCACCGCGCCUUGCUCGCGCGUGCGCUGGCUUUGCGCCAUGCCGUCACGGAUG